UACGUAGGUGGCGAGCGUUGUCCGGAUUUACUGGGCGUAAAGCGCGCGCAGGCGGAUUGGUUAGUCCGGGGUGACAGCGCACGGCUCAACUGUGCGUGGUCCCCGGAUACUGCCCGUCUUGAGGUGUCUAGAGGAGAGCGGAAUUCCCGGUGUAGUGGUGGAAUGCGUAGAUAUCGGGAGGAACACCGAUGGCGAAGGCGGCGAUCUGGACGAUGACUGACGCUGAGACGCGAAAGCGUGGGGAGCAAACAGG
rnacentral:rRNA from 1 species